CCCCCCUCAGGGUCUCACCUGGAGAGUUUCCAGUACUCUACCAGUCUCGGCUAGGGGAGGGAGAUUCAAGCAGAGGCCUCCUCAUUCCAUUCCUAGCUUGACUAGUGGCUAGCAAGUGGAAGGCAAUCUGCGUCAAGU